GGGGGUGUAGCUCAGAUGGUAGAGCGUCUGCCUUACAAGCAGAAUGUCAGCGGUUCGAUUCCGUUUACCCUCA
rnacentral:tRNA from 1 species